GCCACCGUAGCUCAGUUGGUAGAGCAGGCGAUUCGUAAUCGUCAGGUCAGGAGUUCAAGUCUCCUCGGUGGCU
rnacentral:tRNA from 1 species